AUUCAUCCGGUGGGAGAAGCGGCCCAAGCCUCCACAGGCCUGGCCGCUGCCGAAGGCGCAACGCCCGUAAUCGCUCAGGCCCCCGUACCGCCGGAUGUGA
rnacentral:ncRNA from 2 species